UCACUACGGUGGUGAAAGAAUUGAUGCUACGCUUCCAGGAAAAGCCUCUAAGCUCCAGGUCACAUCGAAUCGUACCCUAAACCGACACAGGUGGUCAGGUAGAGAAUACCCAGGCGCUUGAGAGAACUCGGGUGAAGGAACUAGGCAAAAUGGUGCCGUAACUUCGGGAGAACGCACGCUGGUAUGUAGGUGGAGGGCUUUGCGCCCCGAGCUGAAGCUAGUCGCAGAUACCAGCUGGCUGCAACUGUUUAUUAAAAACACAGCACUGUGCAAACACGAAAGUGGACGUAUACGGUGUGAUGCCUGCCCGGUACCGGGAGGUUAAUUGAUGGGGUUAUCGCUUAUGAGAAGCUCUUGAUCGAAGCCCCGGUAAACAGCGGCCGUAACUAUAACGGUCCUAAGGUAGCGAAAUUCCUUGUUUGGUAAGUUCCGACCUGCACGAAUGGCGUAAUGAUGGCCAGGGUGUCUCCACUCGAAACUCAGUGAAAUUGAACUCACUGUGAAGAUGCGGUGUACCUGCGGCAAGACGGAAAGACCCGUGAACCUUUACUAUAGCUUGAUACUGAACAUUAAGCCUUGAUGUGUAGGAUAGGUUGGAGGCUUUGAAGUGUGGACGCCAGUCUACAUGGAGUCAACCUUGAAAUACCAUCCUUUAAUGUUUGAUGUUCUAACUCAGGCCCGUCAUCCGGGCUGAGGAUAGUGUCUGGUGGGUAGUUUAACUGGGGCGGUCUCCUCCUAAAGAGUAACGGAGGAGCACGAAGGUUAGCUAAUCACGGUUGGAUAUCGUGAGGUUAGUGUAAAAGCAUAAACUAGAUUGGCUGCGAGAGUGACGGCUCGAGCAGGUGCGAAAGCAGGUCUUGGUGAUCCGGUGGUUUUGUAUGGAAGGGCCAUCGCUCAACGGAUAAAAGGUACUCCGGGGAUAACAGGCUGAUACCGCCCAAGAGUUCAUAUCGACGGCGGUGUUUGGCACCUCGAUGUCGGCUCAUCACAUCCUGGGGUUGAAGUAGGUCCCAAGGGUAUGGCUGUUCGCCAUUUAAAGUGGUACGCGAGCUGGGUUUAGAACGUCGUGAGACAGUUCGGUCCCUAUCUGCCGUGGACGUUGGAAGAUUGAGAGGGGCUGCUCUUAGUACGAGAGGACCGGAGUGGACGCACCGCUGGUGUUCGGGUUGUCAUGCCAAUGACAUUGCCCUGUAGCUACGUGCAGAAGAGAUAAUCGCUGAAAGCAUCUAAUCGGGAAACUUGCUUCGAGAUGAGUCUUUCCUGAGGUCUAGAGCCUCCUGAAGGGACGUUAAAGAUGAUGACGUUGAUAGGUCGGGUGUGUAAGCGCUGCGAGGCGUUGAGCUAACUGAUACUAAUGACCCGUGAGACUUAACCUU
rnacentral:rRNA from 1 species